GGGAAGUUAGCCGUGCAGUUUGGGGAAAAGAAGGGAAGGAGACCAUUGUGUUCUGGACUGAUAAACUGUCUGAGCAUGUCUGCCCCCCAGAAUAUAUAGUUCAAAAUAGCGCAUGGGAAGGAAUGGAUGAAUCCCUUAUAAUUCAGACUAUCAGCAGGACUCGAAAGACAACUUGUAAAGGUUCUAGCAAGUAAAAGCCUCAAUCGGAAGAGUAGUCAACAAAAUACCACCUCACCUCCGGUUACAUUGACUUGUUACUUUUUUGGUUAUAAGUAGUUUAGAAAAUCAAGACUUCAACCAAUAGUAAUAUGGGAAAGACACUAACCUGUGAAAGAUCAAGCUCCUGACCACAGGAUCCUGGUUUCAUUCAUCUUGGAGACUUUUAGCACAAAGCACUAUUCGUUACAGAGUAGAGGUGUUCCGGAAAUGUUUGCUGAAUUGCAGUCCUGAUGUGCUUUUAUUGUUAUUUGUCUCAUUCCUUAACUUCUAAGCUCCAAAGGGGCAGAUCCACGCCUGUUGUAUUUACCAACAUAUACCAAAUACCUAGCACACAUGACACUAAAUUGACCGAGGUUCAUGGGGAGGAUGACAGCCUUGUCAACCUAGUGACCUUUGGAAACAUCUCCCUCCCACCUCUUCUCUCCUCCCUAAUAGAGUGAAUGGUGAAAGCCAGUCUACACAAAUUAUGAGCAGGAGGUAUCAAAGUACAAAAUAGACUGGUUUUGAUUUUGCAGCAAGUAUGCAAGGCCCCUCCAGUGUGAUGAUGGGCACACAUUUACCGUCUAUACUGUAUGUCAAACCAAAUAGCAUAUUCAUCUGUUAACAAAAGUCACAUUGUGUCAUAUUUUAAAGUUGAGCAGUAACAUUAUUUCCUUUGGAAUUAACUGAAGCUUAAAAUUUACAAUAGGCUGAUGAGAUUCAAUUGCAUAAAAGUAAUAUUUACAACAAUUAAUAGCAAUUUAAGCUAUCAUAGUGUUUAAAGUUUAUUGUUUUCUCAAAAAAACAAACAACUCCAAAAAAAGAAAAGGAAAAAGAAAAAAUUUUAAAGCUACAGAAUAAUAAAGUUUGUA